ACGGGAAGUGGCGCAGGCGCAGUGGCGUGGAACCGCACACCCUGGGUAAUUGCCGGGCGCGCUCCCGACCAGCGUCUUGUUCCGGCAGCGAGGACGCCACAGUGACGGCCUUGAUCCGCUUGGCAUUGAGUGUGCCCCAUCUCGGCGUCUACGUGGGCCAAUGGCAUCCCGUCCGGAGUGACUGAGGCCGGGGACGCGACUUUUCUGGACGUCCCUCAGCAAAGAGGAAGGGCGGAAACCGCAUCCCGGAAAGGUGGAAAGACUAUCUCCCAGUUGGACAGGAUGGCUGAAACUUGAUUGAUUGCUUUUAAAGUCCCUUUGUAAAAGAGAUCUGGAAAGACAAAUGACAAGACAUAUCUUCCAUGUGGCCAGGCAGAACAAUACACCUCGUCAGCUCUGACUGUCCUCCUUGCCUGAAGUACAGCUCCCAUUUCUUCUACACUGGAUGUAUAUACAAAACAGGUAGAUCCUUGCUGUGUGGAUGAAAUCCUUUCUGGCAACAUGAAGAAAUCUCCUGUAGUCCGUGGUCAGUUCUCAAGAAAAGGCAGAUUCAGAGGCAAACAAAGGUGUUCCUCAGCCCCCCCCCCCCCCCCCA